rnacentral:lncRNA from 1 species
GAUGACUUUUUAGGAGGGACAUUAGGAGUAAGCAGAGCAAAAGCUUGUUGUAAUGGGUUAGGGUUUGCUAUGCUGAAUGCAGAGACUACAUAUAUGACCAGUGAUAGUGAGAGAAAGGAAGGGAAAUGGUUAAGUUGGAUAAUGCCCAGUACCGGGAAGUUAGAUGUAAAUUUUUUACUCGUUUUGAUGUGAAUUUUAAAUCUUACUUACUAGGCUAUAUAGCUCAUUACAUGUUAUAUAUUACAAAGCAAAUAAAACAAGAGUAAGAAUCGGAUGUACAAGAAGCGUGUGUUCAAACUUUGGAAUAAGUAAGGCGUACCAUAGAGCAAUUAUCGUUGACUUAGAGCAUGGUAUGAGAUUGUUUUGAUAUCAUUACACAUAUACAUGUCUCAUUUAGAUGGAAUUACUUAUACUUCCAUUAUUAACACUUGAUAAUCUAGUUUGGCAUU